rnacentral:rRNA from 1 species
GAACCUUCGGGGAACGAUGACGGCGUCGAGCGGGGGACGGGUGACGCGUGCGGAGGGAAGGGCCCUGAUGUGGGGGAGAAGCAUUGGAAAGGAUGGCUAAUACGGCAUAAUGGCUACGGGCCAAAGAGGGGGACCUUCGGGCCUCUCGCGUCAGGAGAUGGCUAGGUGGGAUUAGCUAGUUGGUGAGGUAAGGGCUCACCAAGGCGACGAUCCCUAGCUGGUCUGAGAGGAUGAUCAGCCACACUGGAACUGAGACACGGUCCAGACUCCUACGGGAGGCAGCAGUGGGGAAUAUUGCACAAUGGGCGCAAGCCUGAUGCAGCCAUGCCGCGUGUGUGAAGAAGGCCUUCGGGUUGUAAAGCACUUUCAGUCGUGAGGAAGGUAGUGUAGUUAAUAGCUGCAUUAUUUGACGUUAGCGACAGAAGAAGCACCGGCUAACUCCGUGCCAGCAGCCGCGGUAAUACGGAGGGUGCGAGCGUUAAUCGGAAUUACUGGGCGUAAAGCGCAUGCAGGUGGUUUGUUAAGUCAGAUGUGAAAGCCCGGGGCUCAACCUCGGAAUUGCAUUUGAAACUGGCAGACUAGAGUACUGUAGAGGGGGGUAGAAUUUCAGGUGUAGCGGUGAAAUGCGUAGAGAUCUGAAGGAAUACC